UCCGCACUAGCUCAACGGCAGAGCAUCGCACUGUUAAUGCGUCGGUUCCAGGUUCGAAUCCUGGGUGCGGAG
rnacentral:tRNA from 1 species